rnacentral:rRNA from 1 species
UUUCUCCGCCGGCGACCGGCGCACGGGUGAGUAACACGUAUGCAACCUGCCCCUGUCAGGGGGACAACCCGCCGAAAGGCGGGCUAAACCCGCGUACAUGCCACCGGGGCAUCCCGGAGGCAGGAAAGGCUUCGGCCGGACAGGGAUGGGCAUGCGGCGCAUUAGGCAGUAGGCGGGGUAACGGCCCACCUAACCGACGAUGCGUAGGGGUUCUGAGAGGAAGGUCCCCCACACUGGUAAUGAGACACGGACCAGACUCCUACGGGAGGCAGCAG